GCAACCCCUGACGGAGCAACGCCGCGUGGGGGAGGAAUGUCUGUGGAUUGUAAACCCCUUUUCUCAGGGAAGAAGCUCUGACGGUACCUGAGGAAUCAGCAUCGGCUAACUCCGUGCCAGCAGCCGCGGUAAUACGGAGGAGGCAAGCGUUAUCCGGAAUUAUUGGGCGUAAAGCGUCCGCAGGUGGCGAUUCAAGUCUGCUGUCAAAGCACGGGGCUUAACUCCGUUAAGGCAGUGGAAACUGAAUAGCUAGAGUGCGGUAGGGGUCGAGGGAAUUCCCAGUGUAGCGGUGAAAUGCGUAGAUAUUGGGAAGAACACCAGUGGCGAAAGCGCUCGACUGGGCCUGCACUGACGCUGAGGGACGAAAGCUAGGGGAGCG
rnacentral:rRNA from 1 species